AAGUCGUAACAAGGUUUCCGUAGGUGAACCUGCGGAAGGAUCAUUAUCACGUAUUAAUCCACGUUAUAUACCCUUCUUUGAACUGUUUAUUUUUUAAUGUCUAGAGUAAAGGUUAAAUGGGUUGGCUAUGUAGGCUUCUAUGGUGCGCCCUGGAUGAAAGGAAUAUUAAUUGUAAUUUGAGAUAUUCCGACUACAUACGGUCUAGAUGUGUCUCUCACUUUGUGUGAGCAGCAAUUCUAUGAGUUUAACUAUAUUUAUUUAUAGUUAAAACAACCAUCAUUCGAGCUCUCUAGAUACAAAUCAAAUCUUACAUAUUUUAUUGAUUAACAAUACUUGAACCCCUUUUGAUAAAUUGAACUGAUAGAUCUUUACCGGUAAAACGGACUGAUCAACAUACGAAACAAAGAACAACUCUUAGCAACGGAUAUCUUGGUUCUC
rnacentral:misc_RNA from 1 species